UACGUAGGGUGCAAGCGUUAAUCGGAAUUACUGGGCGUAAAGCGUGCGCAGGCGGUUAUAUAAGACAGAUGUGAAAUCCCCGGGCUCAACCUGGGAAUUGCAUUAGUGACUGUAUAGCUAGAGUGCGGCAGAGGGGGAUGGAAUUCCGCGUGUAGCAGUGAAAUGCGUAGAUAUGCGGAGGAACACCGAUGGCGAAGGCAAUCCCCUGGGCCUGCACUGACGCUCAUGCACGAAAGCGUGGGGAGCAAACAGG
rnacentral:rRNA from 1 species